rnacentral:lncRNA from 1 species
UCCACGCCGCCUCACAUCACACAUGCCUCUGCCUCUUCUCUGAGCACUGAGCUCCACCACUUCCAGCGGGUCCACUGUCCACUGUCCAACCAACCUCCACUCUCCUCCCGACAUCGACUAAUUAACCAUCGCGGCUAACUCGGGUCAUCGAUCUUCACUACGUUGCGGAUGCGCGACUUAGUUAGCAACGCCGACUCCUCCUCACCUCACUGUCGCUCUCUAGUCUCUCUGUCACUGGUGGAUUUGUAGUUUUCUCCCAAGGUUUUUUCAAUUUCUCUAGCUUCUAACCCAAAUCCUCUCUCCCAGUACUUGCUUCUUUGUGUUGUUGACAUUUUUUCGCUUUCUGAUGUGUUGCAUGCAAGAAGAGCCUCUUCGCGGCCUCCACACAAUCGUCGGCGUCGGUUGUCGCUCUCCACGCAAUCGUCGGUCGUCGCUCUCCAGUCCAUCGGCUCUCCGCGCCGUCAGCAACUUGGUUGUCCUCAAUCCUCUGUCUUCCUCAGCCCUCAGUCUUCCUCAGUUCUCGGUCCUCAGUCCUCAUCAGCAACUGUAAAAGAUAAGUAAAUGUUUUUUUUAUAAAGAGUAUUGAGUCACUAUUGAGAAAAGUGUUGGUUGUGUAACUUUCUUGUUUGAGGUACCUUAUUAAAUGUCCUAACACUACAAACAAUAUAGACGGCAUGUUAAGACAAAAUCUAACACAGCUAAGAAAAGAGACUUUAUACUUGUUACUAAAAAUCUCCUUAAUUGCUUUCAAAUUCUUCUGAU